rnacentral:rRNA from 1 species
GCAGUCGAACGGCAGCACAGAGGAGCUUGCUCCUUGGGUGGCGAGUGGCGGACGGGUGAGGAAUGCGUCGGAAUCUGCCUUUUUGUGGGGGAUAACGUAGGGAAACUUACGCUAAUACCGCAUACGACCUACGGGUGAAAGUGGGGGACCUUCGGGCCUCACGCAGAAAGAUGAGCCGACGCCGGAUUAGCUAGUUGGCGGGGUAAAGGCCCACCAAGGCGACGAUCCGUAGCUGGUCUGAGAGGAUGAUCAGCCACACUGGGACUGAGACACGGCCCAGACUCCUACGGGAGGCAGCAGUGGGGAAUAUUGGACAAUGGGCGCAAGCCUGAUCCAGCCAUGCCGCGUGUGUGAAGAAGGCCUUCGGGUUGUAAAGCACUUUUGUCCGGAAAGAAAUCCUUUCGAUUAAUACUCGGGAGGGAUGACGGUACCGGAAGAAUAAGCACCGGCUAACUUCGUGCCAGCAGCCGCGGUAAUACGAAGGGUGCAAGCGUUACUCGGAAUUACUGGGCGUAAAGCGUGCGUAGGUGGUUUGUUAAGUCUGAUGUGAAAGCCCUGGGCUCAACCUGGGAACGGCAUUGGAUACUGGCUUACUAGAGUGCGGUAGAGGGUAGUGGAAUUCCCGGUGUAGCAGUGAAAUGCGUAGAUAUCGGGAGGAACAUCUGUGGCGAAGGCGACUACCUGGACCAGCACUGACACUGA